UACAUGGUUGUAACUUAUGUAUAAAAUCCUUCUUUGUUUUCUCUCGUAUCUUCCCAAUUAGAUUACUUAUCGUGAUGAGCGAGGGGUGGACAAGGAGGGAUUAGCUUGGUAGAAAUGCCAGAGCGUAGCAAGAAAAAGUUGAUGGCUUUGACCACUAAUGUGAUGAGAGAUGAUAGUGAUAAGGGCCUUGGAUUACAAUAAGUUAUGAAAUAUUUGGUUGCCAAAUAUGAAGAGCUAGGGUGUGAAGUGAAAUGGAUGGGCAAGCCUGAUAAGGUGAUCUAGUCACAUUGGUCUGGUUACCGUUGUUAACUUCACUUCAUGU